rnacentral:lncRNA from 12 species
GUUUUCUGAAGGACCAGACUAGCAGAUGUGUGAGGAGCUUUGAUUUGGCGCGAGAUUGUGAAACACUAGAAGCUCUGUGCUUGGAGACUUAUAUUAAUUUGAACAUCUAUUCUGAGUUCCUCGUCACAUCUCAGUCUUCAAACCAAAGUCUGAAAGAGGUUAUUUAACAACCCUUGUUUUUUUUCUCUAUAUAGGGAAAGAUCCAGGAAGCCAAAGUCAUUGGUGUGAAGGCGGCAGCCAUUACUCUGACGUCUUUAGAGGGCACACAGACACCGGUGGACCCAGCUGACCUUGUGUCCUAUUUUCCUGUGCUUCUGGAGUCUGGUGACGUCUGUAAUGACGUUGUACAGCAGGUGAAGUACACUUUCAGAUACAGUGAAGCUAGGGAAAUCCUGAAUGUGACUGCAUCAGUUUUGAAAUAAAAAAUGAAGCCAUUAAAAGCGUCAUGGUGCCCAUUCAGCAAGAGUUUCAGAUUACAUUCCUGCAGGAGAUCUCUAGCACACCAGUGUUGUUAUUUAGUGGCAAUCCUGGCUAUGUGGUGGGACGGCCCCUAGUGGCUGGGACAAGAACAGCAGAUGGGAUAGUUCAGUCCGCUGACCUAAAAGGAUCACUUAUCACUUAUCCAUUACUAUCCUCCAAAACUCUGGGGAUCAGGAUCACUUGCUUGGCUCAUCUCGGAGCUCCCCUGUCCUGUUUGGGAUUGGCAUGGUAUCAGGCUGCACUCUCAAGUUGUCCAAUGGAAUUAAUUGUUCUCUGGUAUCUAAAGUCAUUUUGUGGGCGCUAUAAGGCCAGAGCUUCCCUGACCAUGUAG